UGCAGAGGAGGGACAGGUGGUUUUCCCAUUAGCAAGGGCUCCCUGCGUGCAUGGUGCUUGGGUGGGCUCCAGAGCAUGGUGGUAAAGAAGCAGCCCCAUGGAGUGGGCUAGCGUUGGUUGCCUCCAUUCACCUUCCCCAUCUGAGAUCAGGUCCCCAAGGAUGGCAAGAUAAAGCUGAUUUCCUCCCCUGGCGGCAGCAGCGGAUGCAGAGAACAAUAGGUACGGUGCCUGCUCAGGGGACAACUCCUGCUCCCUUGUGCCGUGCCCAGCCCUCAGCUGGGGAUGGAGGGACCCACCCGAGGGGAAAGCCAGCUCCAGAGGAGUGGUUUGGAAAGGAACAUUGCAAAAAUUCAUGGAAAGCUGUGAUUGAGCGAAGAAUGAGGUCGCGCAGCCGUUCCAGGAAAGGUGCAGCAAGAUAUGUGUUUACUGCAGAAAUUCUAUGGAAUGGGUAAAAAUAAAAGAAUCUCACCUCUGGGAAGGUGCAGGAGGUCAGAAGAACCUGAGAGCAAGCAGUCACAGAGCUGUGACCUGUCCCAGGAGCCCCUUUUUGGUGCCUGGUCACUGAUGUGAGGCUGCUUAUUGCAAAACCUGCAGUGGGACGUAUCCAGUUAUCACUGUCUCUGGGUAAUGUAGAUAAAACGUUUGCUUUUUUAUUUUUACCUCAGUAAGUCCUUAAUCCUCCCAACGUGGGCUGACUGCAUCUGGUUGCUCAUCAGCAUCCACCCUAGGCCACCACAGCCUCAGGAUCUAUUUGGGAUUCCACACCUCCCCAAAAGCUGUUCUCCAGUUUGGCUGGUGCAGUUAUCCAUCCCAAAUGCGGCUCUUUACUUCUCCAGGUUUGGUCUAGCUCCUUCCAAAUGAUCACUGUGAAUUUAUUCAGAUCGUUGCUAGUCGUCUGCCUUCCAGACGCCUUGCAGCCCUCCCAGCCCAGAGUUACUGUAAUGCACUCUUCAGUCGAUCAUCUGCGCUGCUAACGCAAAUUGUGUAUGCCUGGGCACCAGACCCCUUGCAGUCUGGCAGAGAGUAUCCAGAGCCAUAUACUGAGCAUGAGAUGUCUCCUGUGCGUUGUGUACCCACUGCAUGGCCUUCGCCUGCCUCUUGAGGGUGACCAGGAGAUGUGGGAUGAGCAGUCUCUGAGCUUUGGGGAUGCAGCACAUCCUUUCCAUGCAGUGUCAGAGGUUAGCCAUGUUUAGCUAUUUAGAGCUUGGCAGUGAGUAGGAAGGAGGGAGAAAGCAUAAGGGACAGGCGUAUGUUCUCAGAUGCUCCAUAACGAUGUCAUCCGAGGAUGAUUUACAUCGGAGCUGGGACAUAUGGUGUGCUUUAUCACCAGGAUGCGUGCUGCCACCUGAUUACAUGCCCACAUUUCUUCUUCUUGGCUUUACACCUCGCUCAUUCCCUGCGGAGGCACUGGGUAUGGGUCCUCAAAGUGGAGCAAUACUGUCCUUGGGUUGUGGGAUGUCUGAAAGGGGGUUCCCUGCAGACAUCUCCUGGCCUUGGUCUGCACUCAUCUUGGCCUCUGGGAGCUUGCUGGGGAGCCAAUGCAUCUCUUAGCUCCCAGGUGCUAAAAUCCAUCAGGAUUGGCUCCUGGGAAGGGAAAAAGCCAAGGAUGAGGGUAACUGGGGAAAACUGAUGGCAUUAAACAUGUCAUCAUGUUUACUGUUGGCUAGAAAUGAUUGACGUUUUUCUACAUUGUUCCUACACAUUUGCCUAACUUGUUCUUAAGUGUUUCCAGUGCUGUACACCUUUACUUCCCAGGCUAAUUCAUACCUGUCCUUAAUUAACCCUGUCAUUAGGGAGGUCUCCUCAAGUGUCACACACAUGUGCUGCGCUUUGAUCCACCAUAUCACAUCCUACCCAUCAUAGACAAGGAGAACCAUGCACUCCUUUCCCUGAAGGGACAUUCUGCCUCUGAGGUCUGUUGGAAAGGCUCCCCUCUCUUUCUUUUUGCCCGUUUCCUUCAGUUCUUCAUCAUUGGGUUCUGUUUUCAUCAUCUUUCCUUCAACCUAUGGCGCUCUGCCCACUUUGGAUCCUCCCAUGGCACUCCAGCUGAGAUUUCAACAGGGGUGAGCCAUACCAAAGGGCAACUCAGUGUGCUUCACACCCAACCACUGUGUUAACUCAUCCCAUCUAACAGGAAAGAAAACACUGCUGGCUUUCAUGGCCCUGUUGUAUUGGUGAAGAUGGAUAUGAUGGUGAAGAAGGCCACAGGAUACUGCAGCAUUGGUCAUGCUCUCCUUCCAGGUUGGGAAAAUGAUUUUCCAUAGUGGAGAAAGCAUCUUUCACAAUCCAGAUCUCUUGCAGGAGGGAAUCUGAUUUUGUUGAUGUUUUCAGGCCGACUUGGGUUUUAGCUUGCCUUGUUUUGCAAGGAUGAGAACAUUUUGUGCUGAUGAAAUCGUUCGGCUUAAUUGCACACUAAAAGCAUGUUGAUGUUUAUAUUAUGUGAGUAUUAAUUUUAAUCUCCAAUAUUAAUCAGUAGCAAUGUAAACAAUGUAUUGAGUAUUAUCCUUGCCAGGCUCUAUUUGUAUGUAAUUCAACAUUUACAACAGGUGUUUAAUAUUUUAUAUUGUGUGGCAAUAUUUCUCUGUCAUUGUUCAUCAGGGACAGGAAAAGAAAUAAAGGGUCUGAAGUGCAGUGAAGGAGUUUUCCUUAUGGGAAGGGCAGUGAAACUCCUUUUUUUUUUCCCAGCUUUCCACUUGGGGAAGGGAAAUUCCAGAAGUGGAACCCUGUGGGAGGAAUUGCUGAUAAAACAGCCCUGGAAACUCCAGAGUUGAUUACCUCAAAGGAAAAGUUUUCUGUAUUUUGCAGAAAAUGAAGAAGAUUAAAGGCAAAACCUAGACUGGCCAAAUUUUGCUUUGAUGGGGAUGUUGAUUUGGUUAAGUAGCUG
ensembl:lncRNA